rnacentral:rRNA from 1 species
UACGUAGGUGGCAAGCGUUGUCCGGAUUUACUGGGCGUAAAGGGCGUGCAGGCGGUUUGUUUAGUCUAGGGUGAAAGCUCUCGGCUUAACUGGGAGAGGUCCUUGGAUACUGGCAAGCUUGAGGGAGGCAGAGGAAAGUGGAAUUCCCGGUGUAGUGGUGAUAUGCGUAGAUAUCGGGAGGAACACCAGUGGCGAAGGCGACUACCUGGCCUGUUCUUGACGCUGAGGCGCGAAAGCUAGGGGAGCAAACGGG